rnacentral:rRNA from 1 species
AUUGAACGCUGGCGGCAGGCUUAACACAUGCAAGUCGAGCGGGGAAGGUUGCUUCGGUAACUGACCUAGCGGCGGACGGGUGAGUAAUGCUUAGGAAUCUGCCUAUUAGUGGGGGACAACGUUCCGAAAGGAACGCUAAUACCGCAUACGCCCUACCGGGGAAAGCAGGGGAUCUUCGGACCUUGCGCUAAUCGAUGAGCCUAAGUCGGAUUAGCUAGUUGGUGGGGUAAAGGCCUACCAAGGCGACGAUCUGUAGCGGGUCUGAGAGGAUGAUCCGCCACACUGGGACUGAGACACGGCCCAGACUCCUACGGGAGGCAGCAGUGGGGAAUAUUGGACAAUGGGCGCAAGCCUGAUCCAGCCAUGCCGCGUGUGUGAAGAAGGCCUUUUGGUUGUAAAGCACUUUAAGCGAGGAGGAGGCUCCUUUAGUUAAUACCUAAAGUGAGUGGACGUUACUCGCAGAAUAAGCACCGGCUAACUCUGUGCCAGCCGCCGCAGUAA